CCACCCCAAACUCCUCCUCCACCACCACCCCAAACUCUUCCUCCACCACCACCACAAACUCCUCCUCCACCACCACCACAAACUCCUCCACUACCAGUUGCAGUGCCACCAGUUCCUCAAGCUGUGCCCCAACGAAGGAGGCCUGGUAACCCAGGGAGACGAGGAACAGAAUUGGAGCUCUUAAACAAUAGCAACCGAAACUUCUUAGGAGUGAAUCAACCCCCCCCUCACCAGACUCCGAAGCAGACCAAGAUUUCUCGGCAAAUAUCCCAAAUAAAUAAAAAAUUCGAAGUCCAGCUCAAUAAAGUCCAGCUCAGUAAAGUCCAGCUCAGUAAAGUCCAGCUCAGUAAAGUCCAGCUCAGUAAAGUCCAGCUCAGUAAAGUCCAGCUCAGUAAAGUCCAGCUCAGUAAAGUCCAGCUCAGUAAAGUCCAGCUCAGUAAAGUCCAGCUCAGUAAAGUCCAGCUCAGUAAAGUCCAGCUCAGUAAAGUCCAGCUCAGUAAAGUCCAGCUCAGUAAAGUCCAGCUCAGUAAAGUCCAGCUCAUGUAAAGUCCAGCUUAUCCUUAGAGGUCCUUCUUCGCAAAAAUCCUCCCUUCACCAUAGAGAAUAUGAUUUAACUGUUUCUACCUCAUGCACCUGAACAUCUCCGAAAUAAAGUGCAGAGCAAGUUGCUUAUCUUGUGCGCAGAGAAACUGCCUAAUUAAAUGUAGAAAGAUACAUUUUUGAAAAUCUUCCAUAAUUGCAAAAAGAAUUUAGUGGCAAACAAAUUAGAUCUCCUGUUACCUCUUGCUGCUUCUAACUAACUCAACAGGUCUUAAAACAAAUUAUUCUUAUUGGUCCUUUUUCCGGAGAGCCUGUGAAUAAAUUUUUGUCCUAGCUGAUCAAAGAAAAGCAGCUGCAGGGGAAAUGUGAUUGAAGCUUUCGAGGUUUUGAAGAUUCCAACAUUUAAGUGGAAUACUUAAUGGAUGAAAAUUUGAAAUUAUUAUAAGCAAAGCUAAGAUAGGAUGUGACUUUUUACUGCCUGAUGUCUGCCAAUUCUUCUACUCUGAUGUUAAACUUUUGCUGUUCUAAUGGGACUUCAAUCAGAUAUGUAGUUUAAAGUUUAUUCACAACUGUCUAUAAUUUAAGAAAUAUUAUGAUUCAUGGUAUAUAAUUGUAUAAAUAUAAAUAUGUAUAAUAUGUAAGAGAUUUACUUGCUUUAAGAAUUUUCUGAUGCAGGGCUUUCCCCCACUCUUAGUAAGGUUUAUCAGGCUGAGGGAAACAGAUUCGCUAUUAUAUUCAUUAUGUAAAACAGGACUCCGAUCACUUCAUUAUAAUAUUACUCCAACCAACUCAGAUCACGAAUGUUUUCACAUUACUGCAUGGAAUUCAGAUAAAAAAUUUUGUAGCGCAAAUCUGUGAUGGAUUAAAUUAUAUGUGGAAACGUACCAAGCGUGUUAGAUGGAUUAGUUAUAGAAGAAUUUAGAAAGAUUUUGGAAAACUUCUCAAUGAAAACAUUCACAAAUUAAAAUCAGUGACUAACAUACUUAGAAAAUCAUUAGGAUGGGCAGGAAGUAAAGAUGAUCUAACCAGCGAAAAGAUCAAGGAAAGCAGUGAUAAAAUUAAAGAACUACUCAUUCCUCACUACUCUUCCCCUGUGAUGGAAAAAACUAAUCAAACUAGAAGACUUGCUAUAAAACCUAAAUCAGAUAACACCCAGAGGAUCAUCAGUCAAAGAUAACAAUCACGACCACUAUUCAUACCAAUGAGAGGCACAUGACGCCAGUUUUUAAAGAUAUUCCAAUUUAUAAUGGAAAAUAAAAUUAACUAAAUAACCUGGCCAUAGAAGGAUUUACGGUAGAAGAGGUUAAACAAAAGAGAAAGUUCAGAGGAGAGAUUAAGAAGUUGAAUCUAUUUCUCGUAUCACUAUGUAGAGCGGAUAAUUUCAAGAAAAUUUACGGCGUAACGCAUGUAGACGGAUUACAAGUCAGAUUAGAAGCCUAUAAGACUCGACCUGAACCGGCACAAUGUCACCGGUGUCAGGGUUUUUACCAUUCGGCUGCGAUGUGCCCGCCGAGGUGAGUAAAAUGUGAAGACCACCUGACCGCCAAUUUCACUAAGACGCAGGAUGAGAAACCUCUGUGUUGCAACUGCGGUUCAGAACACCCGGCCAAUUAUAGAGGAUAUCCUGAAUUUCCGAUGGGACCAAGACAGAGGUCUAGAAGAAACAAACCCCAGGAAAGGGUUUUUGAAAAUAAAAGCUACGCCGACGCUGUUAAAAAACAAGUGAAUUCCGACGUGCAAAAAACUGUUGAUGUCUUUAGCACAUUAAAUGACAUAGUGUCCUCAACGGUCCAAAUGCAAAUCCCCUGCUCAGAAGAGAAGUUGGAAGAAUCGAACAAGAGGGAUUAAAUAAGAAAAAUCAUGAAUAAAAAGACAUUAAGAAUUAUGCUAUGGAAUGCAGCAGGAAUAAAUAAUAAAUUUACUGAGUUCAGUAAAUUCAUCAUAGGGAAUAAAAUUAAUAUAGCAUUAGUAACAGAAACAGAUACUAAUGCUUCAAACAGACUGACUAUAGCAAAUUAUCACACAUAAAGGACUUAUAGAACUGUGUGUAGAGGUGGAGGUAAAGCCAUAUUUGCUAAAAGGAGUUUAAGUACAGUACUGUAUAGGAGUAACAAUGGACAAAAUUAUGAAGAAACUUCUAUACUUUUUAAUAAUAAUGAUAAAAUUGACUACAAAUUUACUGCCAUGUACAAUAAACCUGGUAACAUUAUAAGCAAAGAUACCAUUAAUUCACUGUUUCUUUCCAACAUAAAGAGCAUUAUUGGAGGUGAUUUUAAUGCUAAAAAUACAUCCUGUGAAUGUAAAGUGAAUAAUAAAAAUGAAAAAGAGCUCUGUAAUAUUAUUGCAGAGAAGAAUCUCACUAUCAUAGCAUCUGCAGACUUUCCGUACGUACCAAAUAAGAGGCCUGAUCUAUUGGACUUUUUCAUCACAAAUAGCAAGACACCACUUUUCUGCCUGAUAGUCACCGAGUUGUCGAGUGACCACGUUGAAACCCUUGGUGAAGUUAUUCAGGAUGCACCAAUACUUAGCAAGAAAACGAACAGGAAUCUUUUCACAAGUAUUCUUUUGCAAGAUGAGUAUAACUAUCAAAUUCAAAGCAUUGAAGUUAUAGUCUUCCAUCAAAUCAUUAAUUAAAACUAUAUUGCCUUGCCUCAAUAUAUCAGAGAGGAAAUCGGUUAUAAAAAUUAGGAAAAAUGGUAGAGGAAAGGUGACUCAAAUGAUAAACAGGAACUAAA